rnacentral:rRNA from 1 species
AUGGCUCAGGAUGAACGCUAGCGGCAGGCUUAACACAUGCAAGUCGAGGGGCAGCGGGAUGUAGCAAUACAUUACCGGCGACCGGCGGAUGGGUGCGUAACGCGUAUGCAACCUACCUUAUACAGGGGAACAACCUUCGAAAGGGAGACUAACACCCCAUAGUAUUGAUUUAAGGCAUCUUAGAUUAAUUAAAUAUUUAUAGGUAUAAGAUGGGCAUGCGUAUGAUUAGCUAGUUGGUAAGGUAACGGCUUACCAAGGCGACGAUCAUUAGGGGUUCUGAGAGGAAGGUCCCCCACACUGGUACUGAGACACGGACCAGACUCCUACGGGAGGCAGCAGUGAGGAAUAUUGGUCAAUGGGCGCAAGCCUGAACCAGCCAUGCCGCGUGCAGGAAAGACGGCCUUAUGGGUUGUAAACUGCUUUUACAUAAGACUAACCGUAUAUUUGCGAAUAUACCUGAAUGUAUUAUGAGAAUAAGGAUCGGCUAACUCCGUGCCAGCCGCAGC